AUGGACCUCGAGCAUGGCAAGAAGCCCCCUGCCAUCGCCGCUGCGGAGCUAUCCUCGCUCAAGGACAAGCUCGUCGGCCUGCGGCCGGUCCUGCUGCGAGCGGCUGCGGUCCUGGCGACGGCGGUGGCCGCGGUGGUCAUGGGGCUCAACAGGCAGUCCUACACCGCGGUGGUGGCCAUUGUGGGCACCAGGCCGCUCACGCAGACCUUCACUGCCAAGUUCAGCGACACGCCUGCGUUUGUGUACUUUGUCAUAGCCAAUGGUGUUGCCAGUCUGUAUAACCUGGUGGUGCUGCUCAUCAGAAGGUGCCUUAUGCAGGGAAGGGCCCACAAUUUGGUAGUGCAUAGGAUGGACAUGGUAAUCAUGGUUCUAUUGGCCACCGGUGCCGCGACAGCGGCUUCAAUGGCCGAGUUAGGCAAGAAUGGUAACUUGCACACGCGUUGGAACCCGAUAUGCAACAAAUUUGGUUCCUUCUGCAACCGUGGAGGCGUAUCGCUCGUGUCCUCGUUCGUCGGCGUCGCGCUCAUGCUAGCCCUGAAUUUGCUCUCAGCUGCAGCCACCUCUCCCCGUGCCGUCGUCGCAGGCCAAUGA
rnacentral:rRNA from 1 species